GCCCCUAUAGCUCAGCCGGUAGAGCGCCUGAUUUGUAAUCAGAAGGUCGGGAGUUCAAGUCUCUCUGGGGGCACCA
rnacentral:tRNA from 1 species